GGGUCCACCAGGUCCUCCUGGCCCACGAGGCCCUCAAGGUCCCAAUGGAGCUGAUGGACCACAAGGACCCCCGGGCUCUAUUGGUUCUGUUGGUGGCGUGGGAGACAAGGGUGAACCUGGAGAAGCCGGGAACCCAGGGCCCCCUGGCGAAGCUGGCUCAAGUGGUCCCAAAGGAGAGAGAGGAGAGAAAGGAGAAG